rnacentral:rRNA from 1 species
GUAGGGAAUCUUCCACAAUGGACGAAAGUCUGAUGGAGCAACGCCGCGUGAGUGAAGAAGGGUUUCGGCUCGUAAAACUCUGUUGUUAAAGAAGAACAUAUCUGAGAGUAACUGUUCAGGUAUUGACGGUAUUUAACCAGAAAGCCACGGCUAACUACGUGCCAGCAGCCGCGGUAAUACGUAGGUGGCAAGCGUUGUCCGGAUUUAUUGGGCGUAAAGCGAGCGCAGGCGGUUUUUUAAGUCUGAUGUGAAAGCCUUCGGCUCAACCGAAGAAGUGCAUCGGAAACUGGGAAACUUGAGUGCAGAAGAGGACAGUGGAACUCCAUGUGUAGCGGUGAAAUGCGUAGAUAUAUGGAAGAACACCAGUGGCGAAGGCGGCUGUCUGGUCUGUAACUGACGCUGAGGCUCGAAAGUAUGGGUAGCAAACAGGAUUAGAAACCCGUGUAGUCC